GACGAACGCUGGCGGCGUGCUUAACACAUGCAAGUCGAACGGUAAGGCCCUUCGGGGUACACGAGUGGCGAACGGGUGAGUAACACGUGGGUGAUCUGCCCUGCACUUCGGGAUAAGCCUGGGAAACUGGGUCUAAUACCGGAUAGGACUCCUGGCUUCAUGGUUGGGGGUGGAAAGCUUUUGCGGUGAUGGGAUGGGACCGCGGCCUAUCAGCUUGUUGGUGGGGUAAUGGCCUACCAAGGCGACGACGGGUAGCCGGCCUGAGAGGGUGACCGGUCAAACUGGGACGGAGAUACGGCACAGACUCCUACGGGAGGCAGCGGUGGGGAAUAUUGCACAAUGGGCGCAAGCCUGAUGCAGCGACGCCGCGUGAGGGAUGACGGCCUUCGGGUUGUAAACCUCUUUCAGCUAUGACGAAGCGCAAGUGACGGUAGUAGCAGAAGAAGGACCGGCCAACUACGUGCCAGCCGCCGCCGUAACAC
rnacentral:rRNA from 1 species